UACGGGGGGGGCAAGCGUUGUUCGGAAUUACUGGGCGUAAAGGGCGCGUAGGCGGUGCUCUAAGUUAGAUGUGAAACUCUGGGCUCAACCCAGAGCCUGCAUCUAAAACUGGAGUGCUAGAGUUCUGGAGGGGGUAGCGGAAUUCCUGGUGUAGCGGUGAAAUGCGUAGAUAUCAGGAGGAACACCGGUGGCGAAGGCGGCUACCUGGACAGAACUGACGCUGAGGCGCGAAAGCUAGGGGAGCAACAGG
rnacentral:rRNA from 1 species